CCUAGAAAUAACUUUAUUUUUGAAAAGUAAUAUGGAAUUAUAUGAAAGGCAGCAAGCAUGUAAUACUUGAAUAAGACAUGUUUCUUAAAAAACUUACACAUAAGAAAUUAAAUGUGUAUGUUAGAAAUUUUAACAUUAACAGAAUGCAUUUAGAAACAUUACCAAGAAUACAGAUUGUAGCCAAACCGUUUUUGGUUCCCA
rnacentral:lncRNA from 1 species